AUUGAACGCUGGCGGCAUGCUUUACACAUGCAAGUCGAACGGGCUUGGGGGCUUGCUCCCAAGUUAGUGGCGAACGGGUGAGUAAUACAUCGGAACGUACCGUGUAGUGGGGGAUAACUUAGCGAAAGUUAGGCUAAUACCGCAUACGAUCUACGGAUGAAAGUGGGGGACCUUCGGGCCUCACGCUAUACGAGCGGCCGAUGUCUGAUUAGCUAGUUGGUGAGGUAAAGGCUCACCAAGGCGACGAUCAGUAGCGGGUCUGAGAGGAUGAUCCGCCACACUGGGACUGAGACACGGCCCAGACUCCUACGGGAGGCAGCAGUGGGGAAUUUUGGACAAUGGGCGAAAGCUUGAUCCAGCCAUGCCGCGUGUCUGAAGAAGGCCUCGGUUGUAAGGACUUUGUCAGGGAGCAAACUUAAGAGGUUAAUAACCUUUGUAGGUUGUAGAGUACCUGAAGAAGUAAGACACCGGCUAACUACGUG
rnacentral:rRNA from 1 species